CUCGAUUAUACUUUGGUGGACCGCAUCUAGGAAGGACGAAAGUCAAGGGCCACCAUCAAUGCUCCAAGGAUAGCCACCAACCAUGCUCCAAAUCAAGCAUGCCCUCAAGCAACGUAACAGGGCAUGUUUCAUCGACUCGUCUCUAGCCUGCAAAUUAGAUAGACAACCGAAAGCUCCAUGCCUCUAUCUUUGAGAAGUAUCCGAGUCAGCAGUCGAUCUCAAGCUACCUUCUAGAAGAAAAGUCUAACCCUCAAGUGGACAACCGUGUGCC
rnacentral:lncRNA from 1 species